UACAAGAAUUCUACUAAUAAACAUCUGACUUAUUUACUAUGACAGUUACAUGUGGUGGAAUAUUUAAGGGACCAGUUGGAAGUUUCACGUCACCGAACUAUCCUUCUAAGUAUUGUAUUGAUCAACAUUGUUAUUACAAUAUCACAGUUGCAGAAGGUUUAAAAGUAAUGCUGAAAUUCACUUACUUUCAUUUAGAGGCGGGAAUCAGCACUACCGGUCUGCCUUAUGACUUUGUGCAGAUAUAUGAUGGUGAGGUUAAAGCCGAAGCAUUACUAGAUACUUUGUAAGGCGGUCCUACUGAAGGAAAAGAAUUUAAUUCCACUUCCAAUAAGAUGAUCAUUCACUUCGUAACUGAUGAUCGUGACCAUUUUCCUGGGUUCAGUGUCAGUUAUAAAACCUUACAAUGAUUCUCCUACACAAAAUGCACCAAGUGAAAAUAAUACCAGAAAGGAGUUAAAAGAAUACGUAGCCUGCAGCAUACUUCGUUA